UUGUCUAUUUAUAUGUAUGGAAUCAUGCGUAUGCAGUAGGAAGGGUUUAAAGACUUCAUCGUUUGGAUGCUGUUGGGCUGGGUUUAUAAGGAGAAAUAAACCAAUGGGGAAAGGCGUGGGGAAUUCGCGGAACCUUUUACAAAGCCAAACAUUUUCCCAUGACAGCAUUACGCUGGUGAUGUGAUGGUUGGGCUGUGCCUUUCAGCAAAAAGGAACUUAAAGGACCGGAACCAGUGCGACUGAUGCUCAUAUGUCUACCUCAUGAUAUUAACAACGAUUACUCUUCUUCCGCCUUGCUUUCAUUUUGCUGGUCAUGUGCAGAAGGGCCUUUCUAAAGAAGUAGAUGUAUUAAUGAGAGCUUCCUUUGUAAUUAAACGUUUUCAGUUUGUGUUCAUCACUUGCGUUUCUAAA